rnacentral:rRNA from 1 species
AUGGGAGCAGUCUUGUCCUCCGCCGACGCCGACGCCGUCGUCGACGCCAUAGUCAGCUUGUUGGCCAUCAAGAGCCACGCGACCCAACGACAUCGGUUACCGAUCGCUCCACCGGAUGCUACCGGCGACGACGAAGACCACUGCGUGACAGAUCGUUGGGAAGUUGUACCUAACAUGCACCUCGUCCUCAUGCCAUCAGGUGAACUACUGGAGGUCUGGAGGAACAGGGAACAUAUGGAUACUCCACUCAAGUAUCACAAGACUUACCAAAAAAGUGUGAACCAUAUAUGCCAUGAUGGAGCAGAUUUGAUUGGCGAAGAUAACAACGACAAGCUAAUUGAUGAGCUAGAGACAAACGAUGAAGAGGAUGAGCUCCCUCAAGUCGGCACCAAUGACCAAGAUGAGCCCACUGAGGCCGAAAACGAUGAAGACAAAGAUCUUUCUGAAGCCGACUGCAAAGACCACGACAUUGCACUAUCGCAGUUGCUCUGUGAAGGUGUUGACAUGCCUCAUCGACUUGUUGACGAGGUCAGCAUGAAUGAGGUCAUUGUCUUCAAGGUUGACGUUGAGAGGCAGAAGCUGGUGGAGCUAAGGGACAUUGGAGACCACGCGCUCUUCCUCGGUCUCAACACUACUACUAGAAGAGGCACGUUAAUGUCUCAAGAACUGGUGCUUGCGGCAAUGGCGGCCGCGCCCGAUGACAUUCUACCUCCCUUGGCCACCCCUGCUCAACUUUCGCCAACCAAAAGGGUGAAUGAAGAGCCGAGUUUUCCCCAAGCCUCGCCAGUGGUUUCGGCGAUGACGGCGGAAGACUGGUCCAAAUGGUCCACGCUUCCACCGAACCUCACCCGCCGCAUCGCCGACACCCUACUAUCCACCAACGACCUCGACUAUUACAUUCACUUCCGCGCUGUGAGCCCCAGCUGGCGCGCCGCUACAAAUGACCCCAUGAGGAACACCUCCGACCCUCGCUUCCGCCCGCGCCAGAAUAUCCAGCUGCUCAGCGACCACUAUGUCGUAGCCACCACUCGCAAUGGCUACUUGGUUCUGGCGAACAAAAGGCCUCCUCACGCGGCCAACAUCCUCAACCCUCUCACGGGCGUCGUCAUCCGUUUCGUGGCACCUGUGCCCCCAGAGGUGGGAUCAGCUGUUGUCGUCUCCUUUGUCGGCUCUGCUUUCGGGCUCACCUUAUUCAACGACUCAUCUCACAAGAUUUACGUGUCCUACCCCGACAGUGAGAGUUUCGUCGUCCACGAGGUUCAGCAAGUAGCUUAUGAUAGCCUCCAUAAGGUGGUCGUAGGCGGUGUCUACUCAGACACUAUAGGUCACGCCAUGAUUGCUCGGUUAUGUUGUUCGCUCAUGUCUCCAGAUGCAAACGACCUUUGUUUUCCAGUGGCUUUGGCUACCGAAAUGUUGCUCGUCGGGAGUGCAGAGGGAUCAAUCUUUGCUUUUAAAACAGACAUCGAGUUGGGUAUGCUCGUGGAUUUGUACACCAUCAACAACUAUGCCAUCUUCAAGGGUCAUCAGAGGUGCGUGGUUGUGGUUGUCGAUGAUGAUAAGUUCCCAGGCAUCAAGGUAAACUGUGUCUACUUCACUAAACAACUGGGUUCAUCCGAACAUAUCUUCAAGUGCAACAUCAAAGAUAGGAAAGUAGAGAGGAUCUCUAAAGCUGUCAAUUUCGUGAAACAGGACAAGAAGUUUGACCUCGUUGCUGACCGUCCUUUGAGGAUCAUCCACCUUCUCUCCAACUACACCAUCAACAUCCUGGACUCUCAGCUGGCCUUGCAACAUAUUCCAUAA